CUAUUAUCAUUAUUUGGUAAUGUUUUCCUUCUCCCCUUUCUCUUCUAAGUUAACUUUUGCACCAAGAUCUAUUUUUACUUAAUUACUGUGUCUACUGCCUGAAUUUGCUUCACUUAGACACUAACAUAAACUUGCGAGUAAUAGUUUUAAUGAUACAUAUUUUAUCGUUCCCACCCGAUGUUUACAUCAACACAUAGAACAUCUAAUAUGUUUCUUUACAUAAUCUUUUAGCACUUACUUAUAUUCGAUAAAUAUGAAUUUUUAGAUAGAAAGUAGACAAAUGAAUAUUAAUUUUGCUGAUUCUUUUGCCGAUCUUAUUUGAUUUAAUUUUUGUGAUAAAUGACAAAUGGUGUUGAUUUUGUAACAGACAAAUAGUGUUGAUUUGUGACAAAGUUUAACAUCGGAAGCUCAAGGUAGACUGGUGAUAGUGAUGGUGGCUCUACCCCUACUUCUUCCAUUGAGGUUUGUCCUUUGGGUAAUUCCAUAAAAAAUAAUAUUUAUGUAUUUGUUUACUUUUCUUGAAUUUAUUGGUUUAUACUUUUUGGUUGGAUUGUAUAAGGAUCAUGUUUUAUUUAGGAUACCCAUUAGAAAUAAGCCUUCUGGAGUGUUUUACCUUUUUGAGCAGCUUAAUUUUGAUAAUAAUGAUUGAGAAGCCUGAGACUUUACUUUAAGUGCAGUAAAUUUGAUAAUCUCUUUCUUACGGUUGGUAUGUCUGUUUGUAUAUACAAAUUUUGGACCCAAAUGAAGUUACAUUAUGUGCUACUUAAAUGAAAAUACAUUCUCCGCUUAUUUAUCAUCAUUUAAAGUCUUUCAAGGAUCUAUUUAUCUUUCUUCUUAAAUAUUUUGCCUUUGUUCUAUUUUCUAGAUAUAUUGAUUUAUUAUUUAAAAGAAAAAAACUAAUUUGAUAUAUCUCUUCUAAAUAUGCGUCCAAUUUAAAUAAGUAACCUCUACCUGUGAUCCUUCCUCCAUUUAAACUUAUUAUUUCAUAACUUAAUUACUUCCAUAUUCAUCUGUUUAGAUUGCUCAUUAUUGUUAUUCGCUUCUAAUGUGUUCCUUUGUUGUUCAAGUCUACUGCUUGACUUUUGAGGUUUUGGUUCUCAUACCCGCAUUUCAAAAGAUUUAUUUUUUGGAUUGACAUUGUUGCAUUCAUUGAUAUGGAUUUAGAAGUUUCACUUUUCAUCACUUUUCAAUAUGAUCAAAGGGCCAUGAGCCCAUGAGAGUCUCGUAAGGUUUAAUUGAUACAACUUUUUAUUUUCCUUAUUGGUUAGUAUGUAUAUAUUUUGCUGCUUCCUGCUUUUCUUUGUUAGUUUACACCAGUCAAUCAUUAAAAAUUUGAGAAUGGAUAUUUCCUAAGAUCUCUACACAGAGUUUCUUGCUCUUUAGUUAUUCUAAUUAUGAGUUUAUGUUUUGAUGUUAAACAAUAUUCUAGAUUCCAUCUUUGGUAUGACUUUGCGCUUAUCGGAUUUUCUUUUUGGUUGUUUAUUUUUUGUAUUUAUAGUUUUAAAUGCGUAAUUGUGUAGGAAUGUGUGUUUUAUGCAUGUUAGAAUUGGAUACAUUCAUCAUUAUACUAUUCAAAUUUGGUACAAAUUCUUUGCACUUCAAUUGGUGUUUUAUCUCAUGUGUCUCUGUAUUAAAUUUCUUCUUUUUCACUUUUUAUAUCAGAUUUUGAGAGAGUAUGAGUCGCUAGGGGUACUCCAGUGAAAUUCUUUACUCUUUGUCAUUUUUCAUUCCAUUUGGAUUUCACAGUGUUUGUCUUCAAAUUGAUAUGCGGUUUUGGCAAGGUAUGAGUUUAAGCAUAUGGACUUGGGUGAAACUUUUAUAUCUUCUUCUUCUUCCUCCUCCUCCUUCUUACCAUUUGGAUGUCACAAUAUUGUUUUGAGAGUGAUUUGUAAGAGACAAAGAUUGAAAAAAGGAAAACUAAGAUAAUUAUGUUACGUUGUAUGAUUGUUGAAAAGAUAGAAAGCAAAAUCAAUAAGAAUUAUCACUCUCUUCACCUUUCCUUCUUAAGGUAAUAAUCCAAAAAAGGACUAACCACAAAAAAAUUGGAUGAAGAAAGAAAAAAAGAAAGAAAGAUAUGAAGUGGCGGGGAGGGGAGAGGGGGUGGGUGCAAAAGGAUCCAAACAGGGUUUCAAAGACAAUAAAUCGGAUACUUAAAGUGGGAAAAUAUGUAGGGCUCUUAUGAUGUUCAGCAGUAGUACAUAAGCCUUGAUAGAAACGUAGCAAAACAUAUUUUUCAGUCUAUUUCUCAAAAUAUUUUACUAUCAUCAAAUAACCAAUAAUUUAUUUAUUAUCUCUUUUGGAUUUGCAUUGUAUAUGGUUUUAUACUCAUCUCUCUGUGUGUUUCCUCACUUGGUGUUUUGAGCUUAUUUUGGCAGUAGCGGGAACGGUGCUGAUAUCUCUAUUUUUAGCCUAUCAAUUUAAUAGCAUAUAAGCUUUCUUUCUAAUCAUAGAUAUCACGGGUUGCAUGUUAGUUUCCUCGAACAUACUUUUAGACCUCUGUCGUUUAUAUAGCUCUCAGCUCUGUUCGCGGCGAGUGAGAAAAAUUAUUAGUAGCUCUAUUUCAUAUUUAAGGUCUAGAAGUUCAAAUGAUAAUUUCACUAUUUUUGUUCGAUAUUGUACAAUACUUAAUAAUUAAUAUUAUUCAAGUACAAAAGGUAAACCUUUAAUAUUCUGACAAGGUUUUUCCUAAAUUAGAUGUGUUGAUCGAGAACUCUUCUUGUUACCUUCUCCAUGUCUUAUUAAUCUUGAAGUUGAAUGUUCUGCACUCAGUAUUAAAGUAUAGAGGAUCUCUUGGUUUUUUGCUUGAUAUUUCGUAACAUAGAGCAUAUUUAUAGUGCAGUCUUACUUGGAUGAUGUUAUUGCAACUUAGUAACGAAAUAAGUACUUUUUUUUAUGCAGGGUUACAACUGAACAUUCAAAUAAUUACCCUCCAAAGCAAUAACAAACUGGGAGACACUCGAGAAAUGGAAAAUAGUCAUGUAGUAAAUAUUACAAAGACCAUAAACAGCUUACAAAAAGUCUGACAAGAAACAAUGAAGUCUUGUAACUUUUGUUGAAAGAAAAUGCAUAUAUUACCAUUGAAACAAACUCAAAUUAUCAAGUUAGUACUAAAGUGAGGAAGAUGUUGCGAGAAAAGCUUAUAAUCAUCACAUAAUCCAAGCAAAUAUGUAUCAUUAUUUUUUUGAUCAGUGAUUAUAUAUUAUUCUUCAAUUAACACGCCUAGAAAGAAUAUGCAGUUUUCAUGAUUUCUAUAUACACUAAACAUUGAACUCAUAUGGAAAAAGGUGAAUUUU
rnacentral:lncRNA from 1 species